rnacentral:lncRNA from 1 species
UCUCUUGUUUAUGAGCCACCACCACCACCUCCAUGUUUCCAUCUCCACUACCGCCUAAACCCACCACCGCCUAAAACUACUUCUCUCAGUUGCUCAAAUCCGGGGGCCACCAAGCUCCACUUCACCGAUAACCACAAGAACCCGUUCAUUUAAAUCAGAUCUGUACAAUCACAUUUGAAUUAGAUCCGUAAAAACGCUUUUGAAUCACUGGCCUCACAUCGCAUUUGAAUCAGAUCUGUGAAAUCACAUAUCAUUUAGGUGGGUGAGAGAGAACGUGGAGGUGGUCAGAGGUUGGGAGAAGAUGCGGCGGUGGGGUGGUUGUAGAUCCGGUGGAAGGGGUGGUUGUAGAUUAACUGCUGGUGGGGGUCUGCGAUCGAUUAACUAGUUAACCUCCAUUGAAACAACAAAUCUCUGAUUGCAAUUCUACUAAUAAAGAUCAUCAAACAGAGAUACACUUAUUGAAGCUUUUUAUCGAAGGCUUUUUAUCCAAACCUGCAACUUCUGCGAGUAUAGAUUAAUGGCGCCAUAUGUGACCUAACAGAGUGAUUGAUUAACAGAAAACCCUAGGUUCGGUUAUGGAUGAUGAAAUUGAUACCGACAAACGGUUAGUAGGGUCAGAAGUGAUGACAAGAUCUCGGAAAGGAUUUAAUGGCGGUGGUGAAAAAGCUGCAAUGAAUUAAUGUCUGCAAACUUAAAUCGAUUUCAUAUUAAUCAAGAUCUUGAUCUGGAGUGAUAGGAUGAAUUUGAAAGGGGGAGAAAUGGGUCAAGAUGAAGAUGCAGAUUGGUAAAAGACCAAAGUACCCUUGUAUAAAUAGAUUUAACUGAAAUUUUUAACCUUGUUAAUGCUAAAGGACGAAAGAUGUAACGAGUUUUCUAAUUAAAGGACUGUAACUGUAAUUAUUGAAGUUA